UACGUAGGGCGCAAGCGUUGUCCGGAAUUAUUGGGCGUAAAGAGCUCGUAGGCGGUCUGUUACGUCUGCUGUGAAAACCCGGGGCUUAACCCUGGGCUUGCAGUGGAUACGGGCAGACUAGAGGCAGGUAGGGGAGAAUGGAAUUCCCGGUGUAGAGGUGAAAUUCGUAGAUAUCGGGAGGAACACCAGUGGCGAAGGCGGCGACCUGGGCCAAUACUGACGCUGAGGUGCGAAAGCGUGGGGAGCAAACAGG
rnacentral:rRNA from 1 species